CCACAAUGAUUUAGAAGUUCAGGAAUCCCACGUGACGUCACCGCGAGGUGAUGUAAUGCUUCUGUAAAUAGAUCAUAUUGUAAUCGCGUUUCACUUCAGCGUGCUUCGUCCCAGCGCGAGGAGCGUCGCUAGCCUCAGUCUGCGUGCGUUUAGGUUUUUUAGAUCUCAGUGAUGAAUGUUGAUCAGGACAUGUCAUAUGUAUGCACUGCUCCUGGAUGCUCACAGCGCUUCCAAAGAGAAGAUCACCUAAUUAUUCACAGACACAAACAUGAGAUGACCCUUAAAUUCCCUUCUGUUAAGUGUGACAGUAUGCUUUCA